rnacentral:rRNA from 1 species
AGCAGCCGCGGUAAUUCCAGCUCCAAUAGCGUAUAUUAAAGUUGUUGCAGUUAAAAAGCUCGUAGUUGAAUUUCGGGGUUAGUAGGUUGGUCAUGCCUCUGGUAUGUACUGGUCUCACUGAUUCCUCCUUCCUGAUGAGCCGUAAUGCCAUUAAUUUGGUGUUGCGGGGAAUUUGGACUGUUACUUUGAAAAAAUUAGAGUGUUUAAAGCAAGCUAACGCUUGAAUACAUUAGCAUGGAAUAAUGAAAUAGGACGUUUGAUUCUAUUUUGUUGGUUUCUAGGAUCGACGUAAUGAUUAAUAGGGAUAGUUGGGGGCAUUAGUAUUCAAUUGUCAGAGGUGAAAUUCUUGGAUUUAUUGAAGACUAACUACUGCGAAAGCAUUUGCCAAGGAUGUUUUCAUUAAUCAAGAACGAAAGUUAGGGGAUCGAAGACGAUCAGAUACCGUCGUAGUCUUAACCAUAAACUAUGCCGACUAGGGAUCGGAUGAUGUAAUUUUUAAUGACUCAUUCGGCGCCUUAAC